rnacentral:rRNA from 1 species
AUGAGGAUCAUGGUGUGGACGCUGCGGGGGGACCGGGUGGCGCUGGACGUGGACGGCGCGACCACGACCGUGGCGCAGGCCAAGGGCAUGGUCAUGGCCCGGGAGCGCGUCCCCGUGGCCAUGCAGCGCCUCUUCUUUGCCGGCUGCCACCUCGACGACGACAACCGGACGCUCGCCGGCUACGGUGUCCAGCAUGACUCCGUCCUCUUCCUCGGCCUCCGCCUCCGCGCUGCCGACACAACUCCGUGCCAGUACGUGCGCGUUGCUCUGCUCUGUCAUAGAGAAAUUCCUUUCUUUUCCG